AGAGUUUGAUCCUGGCUCAGGACGAACGCUGGCGGCGUGCCUAACACAUGCAAGUCGAACGGGAAAGCCCGCAAGGGUGAGUACAGUGGCGCACGGGUGCGUAACACGUGGGUAAUCUGCCCAGAAGCCCGGAAUAACUCCCCGAAAGGGGUGCUAAUGCCGGAUAAGACCACGGGGACUUCGGUUCCUGGGGGAAAAGGUGGCCUCUGUAUACAAGCUAUCACUUCUGGAUGAGCCCGCGGCCCAUCAGCUAGUUGGCGGGGUAAUGGCCCACCAAGGCUACGACGGGUAGCUGGUCUGAGAGGACGAUCAGCCACACUGGAACUGAGACACGGUCCAGACUCCUACGGGAGGCAGCAGUGGGGAAUCUUGCGCAAUGGGCGAAAGCCUGACGCAGCAACGCCGCGUGUGUGAUGAAGGUCUUCGGAUCGUAAAGCACUGUCGGGAGGGACGAAUAAGGGCCGGGUGAACAAUCCGGUUCGACGACGGUACCUCCAAAGGAAGCACCGGCUAACUCUGUGCCAGCAGCCGCGGUAAUACAGAGGGUGCUAGCGUUGUUCGGAAUUAUUGGGCGUAAAGCGCGUGUAGGCGGCCGGCCAAGUCGGAUGUGAAAGCCCUCGGCUUAACCGAGGAAGUGCGUUCGAUACUAGCUGGCUUGAGUACCGGAGAGGGUGGUGGAAUUCCCGGUGUAGAGGUGAAAUUCGUAGAUAUCGGGAGGAACACCAGCGGCGAAGGCGACCACCUGGACGGAUACUGACGCUGAGACGCGAAAGCGUGGGGAGCAAACAGGAUUAGAUACCCUGGUAGUCCACGCUGUAAACGAUGAGCGCUAGGUGUUGCGGGUGUUGACCCCUGCAGUGCCGAAGCUAACGCAUUAAGCGCUCCGCCUGGGAAGUACGGCCGCAAGGCUAAAACUCAAAGGAAUUGACGG
rnacentral:rRNA from 1 species